rnacentral:rRNA from 1 species
GAUGAACGCUGACAGAAUGCUUAACACAUGCAAGUCAACUUGAAUUUGGGUUUUUAACUUAGGUUUGGGUGGCGGACGGGUGAGUAACGCGUAAAGAACUUGCCUCACAGCUAGGGACAACAUUUGGAAACGAAUGCUAAUACCUAAUAUUAUGAUAAUAGGGCAUCCUAUAAUUAUGAAAGCUAUAAGCGCUGUGAGAGAGCUUUGCGUCCCAUUAACUAGUUGGAGAGGUAACGGCUCACCAAGGCGAUGAUGGGUAGCCGGCCUGAGAGGGUGAUCGGCCACAAGGGGACUGAGACACGGCCCUUACUCCUACGGGAGGCAGCAGUGGGGAAUAUUGGACAAUGGACCAAGAGUCUGAUCCAGCAAUUCUGUGUGCACGAUGAAGUUUUUCGGAAUGUAAAGUGCUUUCAGUUGGGAAGAAAGAAAUGACGGUACCAACAGAAGAAGUGACGGCUAAAUACGUGCCAGCAGCCGCGGUAAUACGUAUGUCACGAGCGUUAUCCGGAUUUAUUGGGCGUAAAGCGCGUCUAGGUGGUUAUAUAAGUCUGAUGUGAAAAUGCAGGGCUCAACUCUGUAUUGCGUUGGAAACUGUAUAACUAGAGUACUGGAGAGGUAAGCGGAACUACAAGUGUAGAGGUGAAAUUCGUAGAUAUUUGUAGGGAAUGCCGAUGGGGGAAGCCAGCUUACUGGACAGAUACUGACGCUGAAGCGCGAAAGCGUGGGUAGCAAACAGG